rnacentral:rRNA from 1 species
AGUGAACGCUGGCGGCGUGCCUAACACAUGCAAGUCGAACGAUGAUGGAUGAGCUUGCUCAUUCUGAUUAGUGGCGCACGGGUGAGUAUACCAUAGAUAAUGUACCUCUUAGUUUGGGAUAGCCACUGGAAACGGUGAUUAAUACCAGAUACUCCUUCUUGUCUCAAGGCAAGUCGGGAAAGUUUUUUCGCUAAGAGAUCAGUCUAUGUCCUAUCAGCUAGUUGGUGAGGUAAUGGCUCACCAAGGCUAUGACGGGUAUCUGGUUUGAGAGGAUGAUCAGACACACUGGAACUGAGACACGGUCCAGACUCCUACGGGAGGCUG